rnacentral:rRNA from 1 species
AGAAUCAACGCUGGCGGCGUGCCUAACACAUGCAAGUCGCACGAGAAAGGGUAGCAAUACCUGAGUACAGUGGCGCACGGGUGAGUAACACGUGAAUAAUCUACCUCCGAGUGGGGAAUAACUGAGAGAAAUCUUAGCUAAUACCGCAUAAUACCCACGGGUCAAAGCAGCAAUGCGCUUGGAGAGGAGUUCGCGGCAGAUUAGUUAGUUGGCGGGGUAAUGGCCCACCAAGACGAUGAUCUGUAUCCGGCCUGAGAGGGCGCACGGACACACUGGAACUGAAACACGGUCCAGACUCCUACGGGAGGCAGCAGUGGGGAAUUUUGCGCAAUGGGGGAAACCCUGACGCAGCAACGCCGCGUGGAGGAUGAAGCCCCUUGGGGUGUAAACUCCUUUCGAUCGGGAAGAUAAUGACGGUACCGCAAGAAUAAGCCCCGGCUAACUUCGUGCCAGCAGCCGC